GAUGAACGCUGGCGGCGUGCCUAAUACAUGCAAGUCGAGCGAACAGACGAGGAGCUUGCUCCUCUGGCGUUAGCGGCGGACGGGUGAGUAACACGUGGAUAACCUACCUAUAAGACUGGGAUAACUUCGGGAAACCGGAUCUAAUAUCGGAUAAUAUAUUGAACGGCAGGGUUCUAUAGUGAAAGACGGUUUUGCUGUCACUUAUAGAUGGAUCCGCGCCGCAUUAGCUAGUUGGUAGGGUAACGGCUUACCAAGGCGACGAUGGGUAGCGGACCUGAGAGGACGAGCAGACACACGGGGACUGAGACACGGCCCCGACGCAUACGGGAGGCAGCAGUGGGGAAUUUUGGACAAUGGGCGAAAGCCUGAUCAAGCAAUGCCGCGGGUGUGAUGAAGGCCUUCGGGUUGUAAAGCACUUUUGGCGGGAACGAAAAGGACUGUGCCAAUACCACGGUUCGAUGACGGUACCCGCAGAAUAAGCACCGGCUAACUACGUG
rnacentral:rRNA from 1 species